rnacentral:rRNA from 1 species
AGCGUAGGUGGCAAGGCAAGCCAGAAGUGAAAACCCGGGGCUCAACCGCGGGAUUGCUUUUGGAACUGUCAUGCUAGAGUGCAGGAGGGGUGAGCGGAAUUCCUAGUGUAGCGGUGAAAUGCGUAGAUAUUAGGAGGAACACCGGAGGCGAAGGCGGCUCACUGGACUGUAACUGACACUGAGGCUCGAAAGCGUGGGGAGCAAACA